UGAACGCUAGCGACAGGCUAACACAUGCAAGUCGAGGGGUAACAGGGUAGCAAUACCGCUGACGACCGGCGCACGGGUGAGUAACGCGUAUGCAACCUGCCUAUAACUGGGGAAUAGCUCCCUGAAAGGGGAAUUAACACCGCAUAACACUAUUGAUUCGCAUGGAUUAGUAGUUAAAUGUAGCGAUACAGGUUAUAGAUGGGCAUGCGUGACAUUAGCUAGUUGGUGAGGUAACGGCUCACCAAGGCUACGAUGUCUAGGGGUUCUGAGAGGAAGGUCCCCCCACACUGGUACUGAGACACGGACCAGACUCCUACGGGAGGCAGCAGUGAGGAAUAUUGGUCAAUGGGCGCAAGCCUGAACCAGCCAUGUCGCGUGCAGGAAGAACCUGCCCUAUGGGUUGUAAACUGCUUUUAUAGUAGAAGAAACACAUCUACGUGUAGAUGUCUGCCAGUAUACUAUGAAUAAGCAUCGGCUAACUCCGUGCCAGCCGCCGC
rnacentral:rRNA from 1 species